GUCCCUGGGUUGUACAAACACUUGGCUGCUAACCAAAGGGUUGGUGGUUUGAGUCCACCCAGAGGCA
rnacentral:tRNA from 1 species